CCGCUUCCGUAGCCCGACAGCGCCAUUAUUAAAACGGAGACUGUUUAAGAAAGAACGGAGCAGAGUGAAUAGCUUUUGUCGGAAGAAAUGCGUAUAUAUGACCGCUUCUACAAGCCGUCAUUGGCGGACUAUAAGGACGUGCGGAUGGUCUCCCGAUUCACGGAGGGAAAAAGGUGCACAAAGUUGUGGAGGAAAAUACGGGACAAAUGUGCACGCGAUGAAAAGCAGCAGUGGCGAUGCACGGGGCAAUAAAGUCUGUGAUAAAUAAAUAAACAAAUACAUAAAUAGACGUGACUCUCUAGGUCGUCUAAAACAAAACUCGUUACUACACCUGUUGUUCUGGCGGUGAAUUGCUCUGCAACACACGCAAGACUUUUAGAACCAUGAAAUGAAACGAGUGCGUCGACGCAGAAGCAGAAGUGUGCGCCGGCCGUCAGUCGGGAAAGAGCACCGAAGCGACGGGGCGCCUUCGUCGGACCUCGCGCUGUGAGGAAGUCACUAAACAGGAUUGCUGUGUUGCACUCAAGGUGGCAGAGUCGUUUGCAGGAGAGCAUCUGAAUGGGAUUCUUGGAGAACAACAAAUGCAAUUGUUGCCGAUGUCACUUCUGAAACCCCACGUCCGCCGUCGCUGGCAGUUAUCGACCAGCUGCUCAACAAACACCGUAAGCAGAAAGACAUGCUGAAGCUUGUGGACCAGGACUACGCUGGACUCCUGUACAGACCCCAGCAGCAUGCUCCACCCGACAACAAAACUACAUAUUCUACAAUAUGUAAAGCACCUCAGCAAAUUGUUGAACACCAGUUCCUCUUUAAACGUCAGUCCAGAAAAACUGCAAGAGAGGCAGAAACUCUGUCACGCUCUGACAGAGGCGAGUGAGACCACUAGUGUGCCAGUUGUUACGAUGUCUGUUGCAAUUGUUCACCCAACUCCACCUGUUCAGAUGGUGACUCAAGCCUCUAUUGAGAAGAUUGUACUCAACAUCAUGGAUAGCAGGAACAACAACAACAACAACCGGGACAAAAGAAGGGACACAUGAAAGACAAAGUUAUUUCAGCUAGAACUGGAUGCCACACAGAAAAGGGUGGCAGAGAAAGGACAGCAGAAGAGGAAGAGAACUGAUUGUCCGCAGGUCGCAAGUGUCGUUUCUGUAAGAUGGAACUGAAGCAGGGCCCAAACAGUUGUCACAUUCACACUGGGUUCCCUGGAGUAACAGAGAAGUACAUUUUCUGCCACACUAAAAUCUUUUCACUAUACAAAGACCAGGGCAUGGACAAGGAAAUGACAUGGAGAGAGUUCCAGGGGUCUGCAUUCUUUGAUAAAUGAAAAUAGAGAUGGGAGGCUGAAAGGAGGAAGGAAGAGAAAUAAUAGGGGAAUUCCAUCUAGCAUUUUAAGUCCCUUUAUUAUUAAUAUUCAUGUUGUAAUUAGUUUAUAUAUUGGUUUCUUGCAUUUCACACCCUAUCCUCGCCACAUCUGUCUGCACCCACGUCGGUGCUGACUUUAGAGCAGCAGAAGGAGAUGUUGAUGUAGUAAUUUGAGCAGGAGAGAAUCCGGUUGAACAUGGAAACGGAGCAGCCAAUUCAUAUAGAAAAGUUUCAUUUUUUUACCCCAAAUCUUGACUUGCGGCAGUAUAAAUUGAGUUUGUGACUAAGCUUUCAGUGUCUGUUCUGCGCCUGUGCAGGUUGUGUUCGAUGUUGGCGCUAAUUUGCGUUUAAUGCCCAGAUUCAAUGAGAAGGAUCCUGUUUUACACUUUUUGAGCGUAUUGCAGAUGCAAGAAAUUGGCCUGAUGCUUCAGUGCGUACUUACGGGUAUGAGGCCCUGCGCCCUGUUCCUCGUACGUGGUUCAAUUAGAGACUUCCCCAUCUACCUACUGGCAUCUGUGGCCACCUACUGGACAGAUGAUACAAAGGCACUAGACUAUCUUACACUAAAUUAGCUGACGCUUUUAUCCAGAGACUUAAGUGCAUUCAACCAUAGGGAUACAAACCCAGAACAACAAAAAGGGACAAGAAAGGGCAAUUUCAUCAAUUAAGCCAAUUUAUAACUUGAGUGCCAUAAGUGCUAUAAUUUGCUAGUCUUUUAGUCGAGGUAGAUCUUGCAGAUGUGAAGGUUCUCUGCGGUCCUGGUGUCAGAGCUCGUUCCACCAUUUAGGAGCCAGGACAGCAAAGAGCCGUGAUCAUUAUGUUUCAAGGUUAAUAUUAAACAAUUAAAGAGAAAUUAUAAACCUUCCUUGUUUUGCAAAUGAUAGAGUUGUAGAUUUGUUGUGAUAGGUAUACAUUUAAUGUUUUAGUCAGAACAAAACCAAAGCAAUUUGAUUUAUAUAGUUAUAUUAUUCCAUUCGCUUUUUAAAAACAUGCUAAAAUAAAUGUGCCAAUUAGUUGA